UACAGAGGGGGCAAGCGUUGUUCGGAAUUACUGGGCGUAAAGGGCGCGUAGGCGGCCUGUUUAAGUCGAACGUGAAAUCCCCGGGCUCAACCCGGGAACUGCGUCCGAUACUGGCAGGCUUGAAUCCGGGAGAGGGAUGCGGAAUUCCAGGUGUAGCGGUGAAAUGCGUAGAUAUCAGGAAGAACACCCGUGGCGAAAGCGGCUCUCUGGAACGGUACUGACGCUGAGACGCGAAAGCGUGGGGAGCGAACAGGG
rnacentral:rRNA from 1 species